CCUACGGGUGGCAGCAGUGAGGAAUAUUGGUCAAUGGACGAGAGUCUGAACCAGCCAAGUAGCGUGAAGGAUGACUGCCCUAUGGGUUGUAAACUUCUUUUAUAGGGGAAGAAAACAGGGUAUGCAUACCCUCUUGUAUGGACCAUAUGAAUAAGGAAAGGCUAACUCCGUGACAGCAGACGCGGUAAUACGCAGGUUCCGUGCGUUAUCCCGAGUGAUUGGGUUUAAAGGGAGCGUAGGGGGAUUGUUAAGUCAGUUGUGAAAGUUUGCGGCUCAACCGUACAAUGGCAGUUGAAACUGGCAGUCUUGAGUACAGUAGAGGUGGGCGUAAUUCGUGGUGUAGCGGU
rnacentral:rRNA from 1 species